rnacentral:rRNA from 1 species
CCCUUAGAUGUUCUGGGCUGCACGCGCGCUACACUGACGCACGCAACAGGUGCCUGCUCCGAGGGGACUGGGUAAUCAUUUGAGUGUGCGUCGUGAUGGGGAUAGAAUAUUGUAAUUAUUACUCUUCAACGAGGAAUUCCUAGUAAGCGCCAGUCAGCAGCUUGCGCUGAUUACGUCCCUGCCCUUUGUACACACCGCCCGUCGCUCCUACCGAUGGGUGAUCCGGUGAAUGAUUCGGACUUCAGCGGCUCCCCUGGGGUGCGCCGGAGAAAGUUUUGUGAACCUUAUCACUUGGAGGAAGGAGAAGUCGUAACG